CUCAAGUUUUUGAAACCAAAAACUUCCCCUUGUUCUCCUUCCAAUUCGGCAGCCAACAAGCACCACAAACCACCUUAAAAUUUCCACUUAAAAUCACACAUUUUCUAGCCAUAACAAGAUAACCUACGUAUGGGUUAAGCAUGAGGAGCUUUUAGGGGAGUUCUUGGAGCUUAAUCUCUUCUAAAUCAUCAUCUUAAGGCACUUGCAAAGUUGUUGACUCGCGUUUACGGAACACGUUGAUUGAAUAUCUCUCUAUCAGGAACGCAAAGCUGAAACUAAUGGGACUUUGGUGCUGGUGUUUACUAUGAAGCUUUUGGAUUACAAGUUAUCGAUGUCAUCCCUUUUGGAGGGUUUGGUCCAUAUAUCUCAUCUUCAAUGAGAUAUAGGAUGCAAAGCCUUAUGUUUUAAUCUUAUGUCAAACUAGUCCUUUUGUAAAACUUAAAACUUAUGACGGUUUGUAUCCUAAACAACUUAUGAUGUGUAAUAUUUUAAAUUAUGUCAAUGGAUGAACAUUGUUUGUUUUAA